rnacentral:rRNA from 1 species
GACGGAGGAUGCAAGCGUUAUCCGGAAUGAUUGGGCGUAAAGCGUCCGCAGGUGGCAGUUCAAGUCUGCUGUCAAAGACCGGGGCUCAACCUCGGAAAGGCAGUGGAAACUGAACAGCUAGAGUAUGGUAGGGGCAAAGGGAAUUCCCGGUGUAGCGGUGAAAUGCGUAGAGAUCGGGAAGAACAUCGGUGGCGAAGGCGCUCUACUGGACCACAACUGACACUCAGGGACGAAAGCUAGGGGAGCGAAUGGG